rnacentral:rRNA from 1 species
CAGCCGCCGCGGUAAUACGUAUGUCACAAGCGUUAUCCGGAUUUAUUGGGCGUAAAGCGCGUCUAGGUGGUUAUGUAAGUCUGAUGUGAAAAUGCAGGGCUCAACUCUGUAUUGCGUUGGAAACUGUGUAACUAGAGUACUGGAGAGGUAAGCGGAACUACAAGUGUAGAGGUGAAAUUCGUAGAUAUUUGUAGGAAUGCCGAUGGGGAAGCCAGCUUACUGGACAGAUACUGACGCUAAAGCGCGAAAGCGUGGGUAGCAAACAGGAUUAGAUACCCCCGUAGUCCCUGUCUCUUAUACA